AGUGAACGCUGGCGGUAGGCCUAACACAUGCAAGUCGAACGGCAGCACAGUAAGAGCUUGCUCUUACGGGUGGCGAGUGGCGGACGGGUGAGGAAUACAUCGGAAUCUACUUUUUCGUGGGGGAUAACGUAGGGAAACUUACGCUAAUACCGCAUACGACCUACGGGUGAAAGCAGGGGUUCUUCGGACCUUGCGCGAUUGAAUGAGCCGAUGUCGGAUUAGCUAGUUGGCGGGGUAAAGGCCCACCAAGGCGACGAUCCGUAGCUGGUCUGAGAGGAUGAUCAGCCACACUGGAACUGAGACACGGUCCAGACUCCUACGGGAGGCAGCAGUGGGGAAUAUUGGACAAUGGGCGCAAGCCUGAUCCAGCCAUACCGCGUGAGUGAAGAAGGCCUUCGGGUUGCAAAGCCCUUUUGUUGGGAAAGAAAAGAAGCAGGUUAAUACCCCGCUGUUCUGACGGUACCCAAAGAGUAAGCACCGGCUAACUUCGCG
rnacentral:rRNA from 1 species